UGGUUAAAAAGCUCGUAGUUGGAUCUCGGCGGACUGAGGGCGGUUUGCUUGCUAGUAUUACUGCCCUAUAGUCCGUAGUUUUGCCAGAGGUUUCGGGGUGCUCUUAAUCGAGUGUCCCGGGAUGCUGGCAGGUUUACUUUGAAAAAAUUAGAGUGCUCAAAGCAGGCUAUUACGCCUGAAUAUUCGUGCAUGGAAUAAUAGAAUAGGAAGUCGUUUCUAUUUUGUUGGUUUUCGGAAAUCGACUUAAUGAUUAAUAGGGACAGUCGGGGGCAUUUGUAUUCAAACGACAGAGGUGAAAUUCUUGGACCGUUUGAAGACAAACUACUGCGAAAGCAUUUGCCAAGAAUGUUUUCAUUAAUCAAGAACGAAAGUUAAAGGUUCGAAGGCGAUUAGAUACCGCCCUAGUUUUAACCAUAAACGAUGCCAGCUAGCGAUCUGCGGACGUUUUUUUUGUAGACUCCGCAGGAAGCUUCCGGGAAACCAAAGCAUUUGGGUUCCAGGGGAAGUAUGGUUGCAAAGCUGAAACUUAAAGGAAUUGACCGAAGGGCACCACCAGGAGUGGAGCCUGUGGCUUAAUUUGACUCAACACGGGAAAUCUCACCAGGCCCGGAC
rnacentral:rRNA from 1 species